rnacentral:rRNA from 1 species
GUAGUGAUGCAGAGUAAAACUCAAAAAAACGGUCUCAGUUCGGAUUGAAGGCUGAAAUUCGCCUUCAUGAAGCUGGAAUUGCUAGUAAUGGCAGGUCAGCAUACUGCCGUGAAUACGUUCCCGGGCCUUGUACACACCGCCCGUCACACCAUGAGAGUUGGGAAUACCCGAAGCCUGUGAGCUAACUUUUAGAGGCAGCAGUCGAAGGUAGAAUCAAUGAUUGGGGUGAAGUCGUAACAAGGUAGC